rnacentral:rRNA from 1 species
GACGAACCGUACGAACGUUAUUCGGAAUUACUGGGCUUAAAGGGUGCGUAGGCUGCGCGGAAAGUUGGGUGUGAAAUCCCUCGGCUCAACCGAGGAACUGCGCCCAAAACUACCGUGCUCGAGGGAGACAGAGGUGAGCGGAACUUAGGGUGGAGCGGUGAAAUGCGUUGAUAUCCUAAGGAACACCCGGUGGCGAAAGCGGCUCACUGGGUCUCUUCUGACGCUGAGGCACGAAAGCUAGGGUAGCGAACGGGG